UAUUUUUAUACUUUGGUGGCGGCAAAGAAAUUGCACAAUUGAUUAUUGAUAAUAAAAUUGCUUUGAUUUUGCUCUUAUUUUAUUUCUUUCUGAAAAUCUAUGAUGAUGUUUUGCUUGGCAUAAUUUUCUCAAAUAGUUUUCAAAUAUUAGCUGAAAUUGUAGUAACCCCUAUUCCUGUAUAUGAUUUUGAAAAUUUUAUAGUGGCCAUGAGAACAAAAGGCAAUGGUUACUAAUAAGUGAUAAUAGUAAGUUGAAAACUGAAGUUAAUGAUUGCAUUAAAGUUAAGAGUGAGACUGUCCGCAAAGUCACGCCACUGUCCGCAAAGUCACGCCGAACCUUAUCUACUAUCUAUCUACUAUCUACUAUCUACUAUCUACUAUCUACUAUCUACUAUCUACCAAUUACUAAUCAAUUGACCAAACUACCAAAAAUAUCCUUUUCUAAAAAAAACUACACUACUAAAAGGACAUUUUAGUAACUAACAAAUUAACACUACAACUUUUCUCCUUCCCAAUAACUAUUUGACACUUGGCAAUUAAAAUGUUUUCUCCAUUUCAAAUGAACCUACACAUUUUUACACUCUUUUCUCUCUCUCAUUUUAAAUUUCUUUUCCUUCGUCUCUGUCUUUCUCUCCCCUUCUCUCCUCUCUCUCCUCAAACCCUAAAAAUGUUUGGAAAACAAAAGUCACAGACUCCCAUCCCUAAAACCCUACAAAGCUGCCCUGUUUUCACCCACCACCACCUCAAAUGGUAGAACCAAAUCUAUAUUUGUUCUUUUUAUCUCACGGCCUUUAUAACAUGAAGCGGUUGGAUUUUUGUUUCGAGUGCUCGCCGCCGACCACCGUUUCCCUUUCUCCGAUCGUCACAACACAUACCAAGUUCUCAUUUUGUAACCUUUAUGGUUUUAAUUAUUUUUUGAUUCAAACAUCUAAAUCUUUAAAACACUUUCUGGUUUAAUAUUGGUUUAGAAGAAGCAACAAAUUUUACAGCCGGGUUUUUGCAAUUUUAACUAAGAAGUUGUUUUUAUUGUAUUGUGUAUUUAAAGGAUUUUUUGUUUUAGAUGUGUUUGUUUUACAAUUUUCUCCAUUUUGCUACUUAAAGAUUUUUCGAAACCAAACCCUCUAAAUGUGUAUGUAUAUAUGUAAAUGUGUAGGUAUUUUCUGGUUUAAACAUCUAUAUCUUUGUCUAUGUAUUUGGUUUAAACAUCCAUCUACAUACUAAUACCCUGCUUAAAUAGCAGAAUGCAUAUAUGCUUGGAAACCAUACCCUCCAGAAUGCAUAAAUGUCAUACACUUAUCUAUGUAUUUGGUUAAAACAUUACUUUGUUGUACCUUUGAUUCCAUUCAUUUGUAUUCUUACUUGGUUUUACAUAUUUUCUCCAUUUUACUACUUCAAAGGAUUUUUGAAACCAUAUGUAAAUGUCUAUGUCUUCUAUGGUUUAAACAUCUAGAUCCUUGUGUACAUACAUAUGUAAAUGUGUAUGUCAUUUAUGGUUUAGACUUUGUAAGUAUCAUAAACUAAGAUUAUACUUUGUCCUGCAGUACAAGUUAAUUUCCCAUCUAUAACUUCAAGUUUCAAAACUGAUAAGAGGUUGAUUCUUUGGUCAGAUCCAGUUCGGCAUGGAGUUGGAUUAGUGAAUCGGUCGAUAUUUCAAAUGCUGGUGCAUUCUCAAAAGUCCAACUACUUGAGCAAAUAAUCACAUCAACUGAUAGAGGGUUGCAGUAUGUGUGAAUUGAACCGUAGACGCUCCAGAAUUUGAAUGGUGGCAGCUAGGACUAACUGAAUUGGAUGUGGUGUAGCUAAAGUGUAAUGGUGUGUGCAGGCCUGUUUCAUGUUGAUGAGGCUAUUUGUUUGGAACUUUAUGUUGGUGACAGUUGAACUGAUAUGAAUGUUUAGUUUCUUAUUGUUUGUUAGCUUGAAUUGGUUGAUUAGAAAAUGGAUAACUGGAUGUUGGUAAAGCUGCUAGGAAAUUGGAGCAUGUUAGUGAUGUUGAAUUCUUUUAUUUUUUUGGUGUUUGAUACGAAACCGAUCUGUGCCAAUCGAUUGGCUUGGUCCCCAUUUACAAAAGUGUAGUUCUGUUAUGAAUUGUUGAGGAUUGGUUUUGGGUCGUUAUGGGGGUGAAUGUAUAUGCUGGUCAAAUUUUUGUUGUUGUAUGUGGAUGAUGUCAGUUUGGUUUUUUUGUAUUGGGUCUGAAUUGGUUUGGAGAUGUGUUUGGAAUGAUAAUCAAAUGAAAGGCUACUGCAAGUCAGUAAUUAUGUGUUAA